rnacentral:lncRNA from 1 species
UCAUAUAUAAAGAAAUUUCUAGAACACAAAUAAAUUUUCCAUUACAUUUUCCCUCUCUCGUCCAUUAGCUGCUCCAGAAUCAUUAGUACUCCUGUCUGAGCUCUCGUAUAUCAUACAUUAUACGAUCAUAGCAUAUGUACAUAUAUAAAUAAAACACAUUAAAAUAUGAGAGAUAAAGAAACAAGAAAAUUAAAUAAGUUAUCUUUCAUAAGCUAAUUUAUAACUUACAAUUUAAAAUUUCUAAAAUAAACAACUUUAAUAUAUACUUAUCAAUAUUUUUUUUUAACUCAUCAAAUUAGUUUAUAAACUAAUCAAAUAAGUUAAUAAUUGAUUUAUUUACAUUAUCACGGUCAUUCUUUUUAUACGUACAAGUCAUAUUUCAAACUUACUUUCUAAACCAAAUUUUUAAAUAUAACCAAACUCUGUACCAUUUCUAUUAUUUUUCAAAGCACUUCAACUUAAUUUACCACUUAAUAUACCUAAUAAAACAUUAAAAAUAUCUUAAAGUGAAGCAAAUAAAAGAUACCCAUACAAUUGCACUACAAAGAAUCUCUAUUAGUUACCACUCAAAACCUCAACGGAUCUAACAUAUCUAUUUAUUCAAAUCAAUAUUCAGACCAACAGAAAAAAAUUCCUGCCAUUUACAUUAAUGUGCCACAAUAUUCAGACCAAACAUAAAUAGUUUCCAUUUAAACAUAUUACCUAUUUAUUCUAAGUUAUAACACCUUAUAUUAUAUAUACUAUUUCCAAUGUUUCCAAACUUAAUAUAUCAUGCAAUAUACUACCCCUAAAGGUUCUUCGAAUUUGAUAAUCUGUAAAAGAUUCCAAUCAACCCAGCUUAUACGAACAUUUCUCAUCUAAUAUAAUUCUCUUUAAAUUAAUUAAUAGCCUAACAGAAUAGCUUACAGUCAGAAUAUGAAAUCACCAACUUCCACACAUAUUAUACUAUAUUACAAGUCAGGAAUCAUUUAGAACUUAGCACAAUUCAUGCAAACAACAUAGGCACACCUAUAUCUAUAAAGAAACAUAUCAAAAUAUAGUGAGAAUAGGAUAUUUCAGCUUUAACAAAUAGAAGCCUCCAAUCAUACCCUUCGGUUCUGCAGAAUAUAUUCAUUUUUAAAGAAUUAUCUUCCAUAAGCUAAUUCUUGCUGUAAGUUCACGAUAUCUACAUCUUAACAUUUAUUCCUUACCAUUCACAUCUUAACGUAGCAUGGCCCUAAACAUUCCAAAUUCUCAUGCAUAGAACACAACUCCAUACUUUGCUGGAUAUCAUCCAGUUCAACUUUAGACCCUUAUCUUAUUAUUUCUCAAUCAUAAUUUACAUUUGUUACUUCCCGUUUACCAUAAAUCUAUCUCUAACAACUUUUCUAAAUUAUAACAAAACAACUCAAAUUAAUAACUACUAAACCAAAAUAAUCCAUACAAGCCAUGUUCGCUCUAAUUUGCGUCAUAACAUUUUCAGACCAACAAAAUAGUUUUCAUUCAAACAUGUAACCCAACAGAGCAUACUCUAAUGUUCCAGUUCAUAACCAUUUCAAAUUUUGAUACCCAAUACCAUUCUGCACAACCAUAUCACCAAUUAUUUCCUUAUUCAUAACAAAACAUAAAGUAUUCCUGUUUCCCAUUUUAUCAAAUUAGUUUCAUAGUAAUCAUAGAUACCGAACUGGAAAUAUAACACAUAACAUUUGCAAGAUUUAGAAUCAUCUUUUAACCUUCCAAAACAUAUUCAGAGUGUUAUAUAUAUGGGAGUAAAAGUUCUAUCUUAUAUCAAGUAAACAAAGGUCUAUCCGAAAUCUUAUAAAGAAAAUAGACCAGGUGUCCUACCAUGUGUAAUAAUUUUCAUAAAAGUCCUUUGCAUCAACUAAGCUCACGGAAGUGAUAAAAAGCUACACAAAAUAGAAAUUUCACAUCAGACAUAGGCUGCCCCACACUUAUGUAUGGUUCUCGUUAAUGUGAGAGGAAAGUUAUGGUAUCAUAAAAUAACAAUGUGUUGAUUACAAUCUAUACCUUCCAUCAGUUUUUGCCAAGCACCAUGUCCAAGUAUUAAAAUACACUAAAAUAGUAAAAGAAAUUUGCACAAUUACUGAAAAGGCUGAACCACCAUUUUGGUAAGGUGGGACAACAUCUUUUAAAAAGAGAUACAUUAGUAACAAUACUACAAAUCAGAAUAGUCAAGUUUAACUAAUUACUUCUUAGUAACCAAGAUUCAACAACAACUAGAGUCCAUUUAACUAUUAUCUAAAACAGAACUAUAAUACAUAAUAUAGGUCUAAAAUCAGAAAACUAAUGCAUCAUAAAUCUCCAAAUUAACUGGGCCAAGAAGAGACAUACCUAACAUAAGUAAUUUAUUACCUAACGAGGAGUUUGUUCAUUAAUAUGCCAAGAGGCAGAAUCAAGCUUUCAAACUAACUUUCAUGACUUCAAUGAAUAUUUUAACAUACUACCCAAGAUCUCUUUUCCUUGUAACUCAGAUUUACAAGGCAUAUAGGAAGUUCUAGCAUUCGUAAGGUAAGGUAAGGUAGAAACACAAGUCAAUCAAAGGGAUCAACAUACAUCAACCAUUCCAAAUAAAGCAUUACAAGUUAUUCAUGGAUUAGCUCCCUUACCUCAACUCUAGCAGCUCCAACUCAUUUACAUAGUCUAAGGUGUCUCCAAACAUCUAGAUCUAUUGAGUUUGUCCAGCUUCUCUACC